ACAGCAGUCGCCGCGGGAAUACGUAGGUGGCAAGCGUUGUCCGGAAUUAUUGGGCGUAAAGCGCACGCAGGUGGUUUAAUAAGUCUGAUGUGAAAGCCCACGGCUCAACCGUGGAGGGUCAUUGGAAACUGUUAAACUUGAGUGCAGGAGAGAAAAGUGGAAUUCCUAGUGUAGCGGUGAAAUGCGUAGAGAUUAGGAGGAACACCAGUGGCGAAGGCGGCUUUUUGGCCUGUAACUGACACUGAGGCGCGAAAGCGUGGGGAGCAAACAGGAUUAGAUACCCGAGUAGUCCCUGUCUCUUAUAC
rnacentral:rRNA from 1 species